rnacentral:misc_RNA from 1 species
GAUGAAGAACGCAGCGAAAUGCGAUACUUGGUGUGAAUUGCAGAAUCCCGUGAACCAUCGAGUCUUUGAACGCAAGUUGCGCCCGAAGCCACUAGGCCGAGGGCACGCCUGCCUGGGCGUCACACGCCGUUGCCCCCCCAUCUACUCCUUCGGGAUUGCGGGGGGGCGGAUGAUGGCCUCCCGUGCGCCUAGCCGCGCGGUUGGCAUAAAUACCAAGUCCUCGGCGACGCACGCCACGACAAUCGGUGGUUGCGAAACCUCGGUUGCCCGUCGUGUGCGUUCGUCGCGCAUCGAGGGCUCGAAAAAAUGCUCGGCUCCGGCUGGGCUUUCAACGCGACCCCAGGUCAGGCGGGGUUACCCGCUGAGUUUAAGCAUAUCAAUAAGCGGAGGA